GAUGAAGAACGUAGCGAAAUGCGAUAACUAAUGUGAAUUGCAGUAUUCAGUGAAUCAUCGAGUCUUUGAACGCACAUUGCGCCCCCUGGUAUUCCGGGGGGCAUGCCUGUCCGAGCGUCAUUGCUGCCCUCAAGCACGGCUUGUGUGUUGGGCUCCGUCCCCCCGGGGACGGGUCCGAAAGGUAGCGGCGGCACCGAGUCCGGUCCUCGAGCGUAUGGGGCUUUGUCACCCGCUCUGUAGGCCCGGCCGGCGCCAGCCGACAACCAAUCAUCCUUUUUUCAGGUUGACCUCGGAUCAGGUAGGGAUACCCGCUGAACUUAAGCAUAUCAAUAAGCGGAGGA
rnacentral:misc_RNA from 1 species